rnacentral:tRNA from 1 species
UUCCCUGUGGCUCAGAUGGUAAAGCAUCUGCCUGGGAUGCAGGAGACCCAGGUUCCAUCUCUAGGUCGGGAAG